rnacentral:misc_RNA from 1 species
UCCCAUUCGACACGGGCAGUUACAUGUCAAACCCAGGUAAGGUUCCUCGCGUAGUGUCGAAUUAAACCACAUGUUCCACCGCUUGUGCGGACCCCCGUCAAUUCCUUUGAGUUUUAAUCUUGCGACCGUACUUCCCAGGUGGAUCACUUAACGCGUUAGCUUCGACACAGAACCUGCUAAGCAAGUCCCACAUCUAGUGAUCAUCGUUUACAGCGUGGACUAC